UCUUAUCUUUCCACCUGUGCACUUAAUGUAGGUCUGGAUAACUCUCGCUCACACCGAGCGGAUGCAGGGAUUGCCGUGUCGAAAGACCGGCUCUCUUUGAAUUUCCAGGUCUAUGUACCUUUACAAACUCCAAUUGUAUGAUAAUGAAUGUAGUCAAUGGGCUUUCAAGCCUAUAAAACAAAAUACAACUUUCAGCAACGGAUCUCUUGGCUCUCGCAUCGAUGAAGAACGCAGCGAAAUGCGAUAAGUAAUGUGAAUUGCAGAAUUCAGUGAAUCAUCGAAUCUUUGAACGCACCUUGCGCUCCUUGGUAUUCCGAGGAGCAUGCCUGUUUGAGUGUCAUUAAAUUCUCAACUUCGUCAGUUUUGUUAUGAAACUGUGCGAAGCUUGGAUGUGGGGGUUUGUGCAGAGCGCGUAAAAGCAACCUGCUCCCCUUAAAUAAAUUAGCGAGUUCAAACUGGGCUCCGUCUAUUGGUGUGAUAAUUAUCUACGCCGUGGAUUGGGCUUAGACUUGCUUCUAAUCGUCCGCAAGGACAACCUUUUGACAAUUUGACCUCAAAUCAGGUAGGACUACCCGCUGAACUUAAGCAUAUCAAUAAGCGGAGGAAAGGAUCAUUAAUGAAAUAACUAUGGCGUUGGUUGUAGCUGGCUCUAGGAGCAUGUGCACACCCGUCAUUCUUAUCUUUCACCUGUGCACUUAAUGUAGGUCUGGAUAACUCUCGCUCACACCGAGCGGAUGCAGGGAUUGCCGUGUCGAAAGACGGCUCUCUUUGAAUUUCAGGUCUAUGUACUUUACAAACUCAAUUGUAUGAUAAUGAAU
rnacentral:rRNA from 1 species